rnacentral:lncRNA from 1 species
ACGCUUGGCCAGUGCGCAUGCCUCUACGCACGAGCCGGAUUAGUCGUCCACCUUUGGUGAGUCGGAAAUCGGUGCGAAAGUCAAUAUUGUUUGUCUCAAAUAAUAUCAUUUCUUUUAUUUUUGCCUUUCGCAUCGGUGCUAAAAAAGUAUAGUAUGAUUCCAAAAUAAAAGUAUUGUUUGGAAUUAUUUCAAAAUAAAAAAGUAUUAUUCACUUAAAUAAUAUUGGAUUUUUAGUCGUCCCAAACAAUAUUAUUUUUGGAUUUUUAGAAAGUGAAUGGAAUGGUACGAAAUAUGAUGGAAGGUAUGAUUCCAUCCCAUUCCGCAAUCUCCUUCUAUUAUUCGGGUAGCACUUAGAUGACAUAGAAUUGAGUGACAUUGAUGACAUUAGUCAAUCAUAAUGUCAUAAUGUUUGCGUUUUUUUCUCUUUCACAAGCAUUGUAACAUUGUGAUUGACCAAUAUUACCAAUGUCACUCAACUUUAUGUCACCCAAGUGUUAUCCCUAUUAUUCAUUCCCCAAGGGAGGUAUGCAAUAGAAUGAAUAUGAUACCCAACAAUUGCAUACCUUACAGCGUUGCUCCGGCUGGAGGAAUGAAAAACUCUGUCUUUGAUCAAGUUCUUCAAUGCUUCCUUGGAACGAAGAAGAUUAUCCAUUAAGAUGGAUUAAUGAUUGUAAUGUACAUCAAACUUGGGUAUUGACGCUUGCAAAAAAAAUAAAAAUCACUCAAUUUCGCCAUUGAGACUCUUUUUGUAACGUUUUAUUUCUUUUCACUUACUUUUUUUCUAUCAUGACUCAGUUGGAGCUCUAAUACUAAUGGUUAGGUAUCAAGAAUUAUGUUUAAAGUUUUGAUUCUCAUUCAUUGCUCAAGAGUGUAUUGCACAAUUCUACAAAGCCAAAUAGGUCCAUCCCAAACAAAUAAGUGCAAUGAGACUUCAACUAGUUUAUUGGCUAUGAGUUACUUUUUUUUGCCACACACAACAUUAGAAUUACGAUUAACAUAAGUGAUUUCUAUGUAUCUUUAGUUUUUCUUCCUUACUUUUUUAUUUUGGGAUUUCGUCAGUGCAAUAUUGUUUGUUUUGAUUUCCC